GUGGGAAGUGGAAGGCUAGCAGAACGCUCUGGAAAGUGCGGCCACAGACCGUGACAGCCGGGUAUGCGAAAGCUCGAAGCUCCCUAGAGGUAUCCCAAGUAGCACGGUGCACGUGAAACUCUGUGCGAAUCCGUCCGGACCACCGGAUAAGCCUAAAUACUCCUUGGCAACCGAUAGUGAACUAGUACCGCGAGGGAAAGGUGAAAAGAACCCCUUUGAGGGGAGUGAAAUAGUACCUGCAACCAUGAGCUUACAAUGUGUCGAAGCGCCGCAAGGCGUGACGGCUUGCCUUUUGCAUAAUGAGUCUGCGAGUUAUUGUCCGUGGCCAGCCUAAGGCUCUGUGAGCUGGAGGCGAAGCGAAAGCGAGUGCGAAUAGCGCGACUAGUCGCGGGCAAUAGACCCGAAGCGGAGGUGAUCUACUCUUGAGCAGGUUGAAGCUGCAGUAACAUGCAGUGAAGGACCGAACUCGUGGAUGUUGAAAAAUCCUGAGAUGACUUGAG
rnacentral:rRNA from 1 species